CUGGGAGGACGACGAGGGGGGAGAGAGUCGCCCCUCCCGCCGCCGACGUGACGGACGACUCCGGCGGGCCAAUGGGAGGCAGCCGCCGCACCCCGGACACCAAUCGCGAGCUCUGUAGGAGGUGGCCAAUCGGAGUGCAAUGAGGGGCAGUGGGCGGGAGGCUCAGAGUGACUGACAGCUCUCAGAGGCAAUAGCUGCGAGCUGCCCGUGCUGGGCGGGCAAAUGAAGGAGAUCUGAGAAGGCAGGAGGCCCAAUGAAACGCGAGUGCCAGAUUCGCGGGGCGGCUUCAGAAUUAGAUUGACGGUUCUGAAGAGUCACGUGGACUGUAAGGCCGGGCCUAGUGGAAGACUCCUAUGGACCGGCUGGGUGGGCGUUAGGUUUGAUAGUCGUGGACACAAGCCAAUGAAUGCACGUGAGAGG
rnacentral:lncRNA from 1 species